GAGAAUCUCGUCGUUUUCUUUGGUUGCAUUACUAACGCUAAUUCCAGUCGUAGAUUGUGUUUGGAUUAAUUCGGACACACUGUAGACUGCAUAAUCGGAGGAGGGCUAUUUUUUAUUCUGUUUUUUUGGUUGUAUCAUUUUAGCUCACCUCUUUGACAUACUUGUGACUGUGUGUGAUGCGUCUUUGUGUUUAAAAAGCUUCACAGCUUGGCCAUCCCCGAGCCAGAGCGAGUGAUAUCUAGAGUGGCGAGAGAGCUCGCCGAGGUAGUAGCUCGAGAAGGAUCGUGGUCGCCGAGCUGGUUGCGGUAAAACAAGCUCCACAGUCUGUUGAUCACAAUGACGGAGACCAUGAAACCAAACUCCGGGGUCUUAGGGGAAGAAUUAUACAUGUUUCCCAACGGCACUGGAUGGACAUUGUAAAAAACGCAGUGCAAGGACCGAUGGGGCAGUUUGUGCGUUUG